rnacentral:tRNA from 2 species
AUAAAAAUGCCAGAGAAAUUUAUGGGGUUGAUUUAGGUUCAAUUUACAGCCACAGGCUUUUUUAUU